CGUGGGCGCUGGAGAAUUGAGGGGGGCUGCUCCUAGUACGAGAGGACCGGAGUGGACGCAUCACUGGUGUUCGGGUUGUCAUGCCAAUGGCACUGCCCGGUAGCUAAAUGCGGAAGAGAUAAGUGCUGAAAGCAUCUAAGCACGAAACUUGCCCCGAGAUGAGUUCUCCCUGAGACUUUAAGUCUCCUGAAGGAACGUUAAAGACGAUGACGUUGAUAGGCCGGGUGUGUAAGCGCAGCGAUGCGUUGAGCUAACCGGUACUAAUGAACCGUGAGGCUUAACCUU
rnacentral:rRNA from 1 species